rnacentral:rRNA from 1 species
UACGUAGGGUGCAAGCGUUGUCCGGAAUUAUUGGGCGUAAAGAGCUCGUAGGCGGUUCGUCACGUCGGCUGUGAAAUCCCGAGGCUCAACCUCGGGUCUGCAGUCGAUACGGGCGGACUUGAGUACUGCAGGGGGGACUGGAAUUCCUGGUGUAGCGGUGAAAUGCGCAGAUAUCGGGAGGAACACCAGUGGCGAAGGCGGUUGCCUGGGGCUUUGCUGACGCUGAUGCGCGAAAGCGUGGGGAGCGAUCCGG